rnacentral:rRNA from 1 species
GACGAACGCUGGCGGCGUGCUUAACACAUGCAAGUCGAACGGAAAGGCCCUGCUUUUGUGGGGUGCUCGAGUGGCGAACGGGUGAGUAACACGUGAGUAACCUGCCCUUGACUUUGGGAUAACUUCAGGAAACUGGGGCUAAUCCCGGAUAGGAGCUCCUGCUGCAUUGUGGGGGUUGGAAAGUUUCGGCGGUUGGGGCUGGACUCGCGGCGUAUCAGCUUGUUGGUGGGGUGGUGGCUUACCAAGGCUUUGGCGGGUAGCCGGCCUGAGAGGGUGACCGGCCACGUUGGGACUGAGAUACGGCCCAGCCUCCUACGGGAGGCAGCAGUGGGGAAUAGUGUACAAUGGGCGGAAGCCUGAUGCAGCAACGCCGCGUGCGGGAUGACGGCCUUCGGGUUGUAAACCGCUUUCGCCUGGGACGAAGCGUGAGUGACGGUAAUGGGUAAAGAAGCACCGGCUAACUACGUG